GAAGUUUGCCAGAGAAAGAAGGUUCAAGGAAGCUCUAAAUAGACUGAAGAGAAAUGCUGACAGACUGAAAGUGGUCUAGAGUCAAUACAUGUGACCAAGGAGGCACAGAUGGAGCUUGCCGGCAGUAGAGUCAAUGUAUCACAUAACGACAUUUCAGCUAACAAUGGACCACAGAUAUGACAGAUUGGACCUGAGAAACUCCUAUCACCUAGCAAUGUCGUAGCCAUGGUAACAUCAUAAGGCAAUGCAUUACUCAAGUGUCUGUGGUGAUGCUGGUGUAAACAAACCCUCUGCGCUGCUAUUUGCAUGAAAGUAUAGCACAUACGGUUAUAGUGUAUGUAUAUGUAUUGAUAAUGAUAAUAAAUGACUGUUGCUGGUUU